rnacentral:rRNA from 1 species
UACGUAGGGUGCGAGCGUUGUCCGGAUUUAUUGGGCGUAAAGAGCUCGUAGGCGGUUUGUCGCGUCGGCCGUGAAAUCUCCACGCUUAACGUGGAGCGUGCGGUCGAUACGGGCAGACUUGGAGUUCGGUAGGGGAGACUGGAAUUCCUGGAUGUAGCGGUGAAAUGCGCAGAUAUCAGGAGGAACACCGGUGGCGAAGGCGGGUCUCUGGGCCGAUACUGACGCUGGAGGAGCGAAAGCGUGGGGAGCGAACAGG